CGGCAGAAAAGAAUGAUAAGGACAUUGCUAAUUAAACAAUGUUUGAAAUGCCUAGUUGAAUGAAGAUUACGUUAAUGCAUGUAAUGAAUAUAAUUAACAAUAUCAUAUAAAUCCUUUUUUUUACAUGCCUUCCUUUAUUUUACAUAUAAAUUCCUGUUACAUGCCUGCCUUUCUUCUUUUAAAUAUAAAUUCUUGUUUUACAUCUGUUUGCAUCUAUAC
rnacentral:lncRNA from 1 species